rnacentral:rRNA from 1 species
UCAGCCGCCGCGGUAAAACCAGCACCUCAAGUGGUCAGGAUGAUUAUUGGGCCUAAAGCAUCCGUAGCCGGCUUUGUAAGUUUUCGGUUAAAUCCAUGUGCUCAACGCAUGGGCUGCCGAAAAUACUGCAUGGCUAGGGAGUGGGAGAGGUAGACGGUACUCAGUAGGAAGGGGUAAAAUCCUUUGAUCUAUUGAUGACCACCUGUGGCGAAGGCGGUCUACCAGAACACGUUCGACGGUGAGGGAUGAAAGCUGGGGGAGCAAACCGGAUUAGAUACCCGGGUAGUCCCAGCUGUAAACGAUGCAGACUCGAUGAUGCAUUGGCAUAAUAGCCAGUGCAGUGUCGCAGGGAAGCCGUUAAGUCUGCCGCCUGGGAAGUACGUACGCAAGUAUGAAACUUAAAGGAAUUGGCGGGGGAGCACCACAAGGGGUGAAGCCUGCGGUUCAAUUGGAGUCAACGCCAGAAAUCUUACCCGGAGAGACAGCAGAAUGAAGGUCAAGCUGAAGACUUUACCAGACAAGCUGAGAGGUGGUGCAUGGCCGUCGCCAGCUCGUGCCGUGAGAUGUCCUGUUAAGUCAGGUAACGAGCGAGAUCCCUGCCACUAGUUGCUAUCAUUAUUCUCAGGAAUAGUGGGGCGAAUUAGUGGGACUGCCGUUGUUAAAACGGAGGAAGGAAGGGGCUACGGCAGGUCAGUAUGCCCCGAAACUCUGGGGCCACACGCGGGCUGCAAUGGUAGUGACAAUGAGUUCCAAACUCGAAAGAGAGUGGCAAUCUCUAAACGCUACCACAGUUAUGACUGAGGGCUGUAACUCGCCCUCACGAAUAUGGAAUCCCUAGUAACCGCGUGUCAUUACCGCGCGGUGAAUACGUCCCUGCUCCUUGCACACACCGCCCGUCGUUUCAUCGAAGUUUGCUUUUAGCGAGGUGAUGUUUAAU